UGGGGAAUAUUGCACAAUGGGCGCAAGCCUGAUGCAGCCAUGCCGCGUGUAUGAAGAAGGCCUUCGGGUUGUAAAGUACUUUCAGCGGGGAGGAAGGGAGUAAAGUUAAUACCUUUGCUCAUUGACGUUACCCGCAGAAGAAGCACCGGCUAACUCCGUGCCAGCAGCCGCGGUAAUACGGAGGGUGCAAGCGUUAAUCGGAAUUACUGGGCGUAAAGCGCACGCAGGCGGUUUGUUAAGUCAGAUGUGAAAUCCCCGGGCUCAACCUGGGAACUGCAUCUGAUACUGGCAAGCUUGAGUCUCGUAGAGGGGGGUAGAAUUCCAGGUGUAGCGGUGAAAUGCGUAGAGAUCUGGAGGAAUACUGGUGGCGAAGGCGGCCCCCUGGACAAAGACUGACGCUCAGGUGCGAAAGCGUGGGGAGCAAACAGG
rnacentral:rRNA from 1 species